rnacentral:rRNA from 1 species
UACGUAGGGGGCGAGCGUUGUCCGAAGUUACUGGGCGUAAAGCGCGCGUAGGCGGGUUCUUAAGUGAGGGGUGAAAGGUUCAGGGCUCAACCCGGACACUGCCUUUCAUACUGGGGACCUUGAGUGCGGGAGGGGCGAGUGGAAUGGUCGGUGUAGCGGUGAAAUGCGUAGAUAUCGAUCGGAACACCCAUGGCGAAGGCAGCUCGCUGGGACGUCACUGACGCUGAGGCGCGAAAGCGUGGGGAGCGAACAGG